CCUCCAGAUGUUGUUGGAUUACAAUUCCCAUCAGCUUCAGCGACAUGGCCAGUGAUCAGGGAUGCUGGGAAUUGUAGUCCAGCAAGAUCUGGAGGGGAC